rnacentral:rRNA from 1 species
AGAGUUUGAUCCUGGCUCAGGACGAACGCUGGCGGCGUGCCUAAUACAUGCAAGUCGAACGAACCGCGACUAAGUGCUUGCACUAAGUCAAGGUGAGUGGCGAACGGGUGAGUAACACGUGGGUAACCUACCUCAUAGUGGGGGAUAACAGUCGGAAACGACUGCUAAUACCGCAUAGGACAUGGAAUCACAUGAUUCUGUGAGGAAAGGUGGCGCAAGCUAUCGCUAAGAGAUGGACCCGCGGUGCAUUAGCUAGUUGGUAGGGUAAAGGCCUACCAAGGCCAUGAUGCAUAGCCGACCUGAGAGGGUGAUCGGCCACAUUGGGACUGAGACACGGCCCAAACUCCUACGGGAGGCAGCAGUAGGGAAUCUUCCGCAAUGGACGCAAGUCUGACGGAGCAACGCCGCGUGAGUGAAGAAGGUCUUCGGAUCGUAAAGCUCUGUUGUUAGAGAAGAACAGCGCAUAGAGUAACUGUUAUGCGUGUGACGGUAUCUAACCAGAAAGCCACGGCUAACUACGUGCCAGCAGCCGCGGUAAUACGUAGGUGGCGAGCGUUGUCCGGAUUUAUUGGGCGUAAAGGGAGUGUAGGCGGUCUUUUAAGUCUGAUGUGAAAGCCCACGGCUCAACCGUGGAGGGUCAUUGGAAACUGGGAGACUUGAGUGCAGAAGAGGAGAGCGGAAUUCCAUGUGUAGCGGUGAAAUGCGUAGAUAUAUGGAGGAACACCAGUGGCGAAGGCGGCUCUCUGGUCUGUAACUGACGCUGAGGCUCGAAAGCGUGGGGAGCAAACAGGAUUAGAUACCCUGGUAGUCCACGCCGUAAACGAUGAGUGCUAAGUGUUGGUCUCAUAAGAGAUCAGUGCUGCAGCUAACGCAUUAAGCACUCCGCCUGGGGAGUACGACCGCAAGGUUGAAAC